rnacentral:rRNA from 1 species
AGAGUGAACGCUGGCGGUAGGCCUAACACAUGCAAGUCGAACGGCAGCACAGUGGUAGCAAUACCAUUGGUGGCGAGUGGCGGACGGGUGAGGAAUACAUCGGAAUCUACCUUUUCGUGGGGGAUAACGUAGGGAAACUUACGCUAAUACCGCAUACGCCCUUCGGGGGAAAGCCGGGGAUCGCAAGACCUGGCGCGGAUAGAUGAGCCGAUGUCGGAUUAGCUAGUUGGUGAGGUAAUGGCUCACCAAGGCGACGAUCCGUAGCUGGUCUGAGAGGAUGAUCAGCCACACUGGAACUGAGACACGGUCCAGACUCCUACGGGAGCAGCAGUGGGGAAUAUUGGACAAU